rnacentral:rRNA from 1 species
GACGAACGCUGGCGGCGUGCUUACCACAUGCAAGUCGAACGGAGUGGCGAACGGUUGAGUAACACGUUGGUGCUCUUCCUUGCACUUCGGGAUCAGCUUGGGACACUGGGUCUAAUACCGGCUAGUGCAAGCUGAGCUCGCGGCCUAUCAGCUUUGUGGUGGGGUAAUGGCCUACCAAGGCGUCGACGGGUAUCCGGCCUGGGAGAGUGUACGGCGACAAUGGGACUGAGAUACGGCGCAGACGCCUACAGGAGGCAGCAGGGGGGAAUAUGGCACAAUGGGCGGAAGCCUGAUGAAGAGACGCUGCGUGGGGGAUGAAGGCCUUCGGGUUGUAAACGCCUUUAGACAGGGACGCGGUACCUGUAUAAGAAGCACCGGCUAACUACGUGUCAGCAGCCGCGGUAAUUC